rnacentral:rRNA from 1 species
AGCCCAGAGAAAUUUGGAUUAAUACCCCAUAGUAUGCUGAAGUGGCAUCCUUUAGUAUUAAAGAUUUAUCGAUAUAAGAUGGCUAUGCGUUCUAUUAGCUAGUUGGUUAGGUAACGGCUAACCAAGGCUACGAUAGAUAGGGGUCCUGAGAGGGAGAUCCCCCACACUGGUACUGAGACACGGACCAGACUCCUACGGGAGGCAGCAGUGAGGAAUAUUGGACAAUGGAGGCAACUCUGAUCCAGCCAUGCCGCGUGCAGGAAGACUGCCCUAUGGGUUGUAAACUGCUUUUAUAGAGGAAGAAACCGCUCUACGUGUAGAGCUCUGACGGUACUCUACGAAUAAGGAUCGGCUAACUCCGUGCCAGCAGCCGCGGUAAUACGGAGGAUCCAAGCGUUAUCCGGAAUCAUUGGGUUUAAAGGGUCCGUAGCGGGCUUGUAAGUCAGUGGUGAAAGUUUGCGGCUCAACCG